rnacentral:lncRNA from 1 species
UGCUUUCCAAAAAGAAAGGACUGGUGCUCUCUUCCCUUUGAAGUCAAGAAAUAAAGUAGCUGGUACAGAAAUAAACCUGCGUGGCAAUUAGGUGAAGUACUGCCCUUGAAAUGAGGAAAGUGGAAGAUGCAUAUUUUAUAUAGGGGGGAAAAAAAAACAGGAGUCAUUUCACAGCAAUGGAAAGAUAGGAGAAGGAAAUGCUGGAAAAGCUGUUCCCAGUACAGACAAAAGCAUUUGAAAGUGCCAAAGACUACAAGCUUUUUCAGUAAAUACAUAUCUAUGUGAACAAGAUGCAUGAAAGUUGUUCAGUUUAAGAUAUUUUCUUGCCUUUUCUACAUUAUUCCUCUCAAAGUUCUUUGAGAUUAAAUUCCUUGGUUUCCUGUGAGAGUCCAGAAGGGAAAAAACAAACAAAUGGUAUGAAAUGUAAGUCGCAGUACAAACUUUCUUUCAGGACAAUGAUCUGAUUUUAAUUUUGCUCAUAGCCUUCAAUGUAACAUCUAAUUAAGACAUCUGUUAAAUGCCUAUGAUAUUAAAUUAAUAGGGGGAAGCUAAUAGAACUUUAUUGGCAUAGUCCAGCUAAUUAACAUUUAAUGGCCGUCUUAAAUAGAAAUCAUUAAUGGAAGUGCCAUACAACUGGAAUGAAGCACAAUCAUGUUUCAUUGUGCUGUGAAGGACAUACAUUCUACCAUAUGCAUGCACAGAUGAACAUGAUACAACUUCCUGUAGCUACUGGUCCCCUCCCCUCUUUUUUUAAGCACUGUUUCAGUGACCAAAAAAAACCCAACCAGCCCCGGAACACGGCCUAGCGGUCUUUUUCCGUAAGUAAUGGCAAGGCUUUCAUUUUUUACCGUGACUAGAGCUGAAGAGAUGUUCAGAAGUCUCAAGGCAGUCGCGUGCUAGCGGCACACAAAGACAGAUGACAAACAGACUAACAAGGGAUAUGAACAGCCAGAGCAUUUGAGAAGCCUUUACUGCAGUUGCUGAUAUGAAAGUACUACAGAAGUUUCCUCACCUCAUGGCUAUCCUUUUCAACACCCAGAUCAACACAUUUUGCUUUGGUACCAGAAGAUGGAGCCACGUACUCACAUUUUCACAAAAGAGAAAUGGAAACCCCAGACAGAAAUAUGGGAUUUCUAUUGAAGAUAUGCAUCUAAACAAGACAGCCAGCUGAAGAAACCUUCAGGAGGAAGCAGAAGAGGCCACGCUGUUGACAAGACCAUUGUGUCUGCAAGGCAGAAGGGAACUCAGACUCCUUUGUAAGGAGACCAAACAUAUCACUUAAUAAAAA